rnacentral:ncRNA from 19 species
UCAGUCUUUUUCUCUCUCCUA